rnacentral:lncRNA from 1 species
GAAGAAGGCUGGGUGUAGCUAUAGUCUUGGCCCAUGUUUCUUAAACCUGAAAUAAAAAAUCAUGUAAGCGAAGAUACACAACAACAAUCACAAAGAAAAUCAACAAUCACAACAAGCAAAAGUAAAACAUGACUACAACAAGCAAAACUAACACUUAUAAUCAGUAACAAAGACAAGAACUAAAACAUUCCUAAACUCGGGUAGUGGGUUCAAAACCUACGACGAAUCGAAAUCAAACAUAAACAAAGAUGGUAGACAAGAGGAUAUAGAAGAUGAGAAUCAAGAGCAAACCGAGAAGAAAACUAUAAAUCUAUAUAUAAAUCCCCAAUCCGAUUUUCUCAAUCCCUAACCUUUAAUCGCGAGGAUAACAACAAACAAGCGAAUUGAAAAAGAAGAAAAUUUUAAACCUAGAAGAAAACCCUAAUUUCGAUUGAAAUCCCAAAUCCGAUUUGAAACCCUAAAGCUAUUAAAACCAAACAAUUGAACCCAUUUGAGUGAUGAAAUCGACAUGCAUCAACUAGAGAAGGAAAAAAAAUUAACUAAAAGCUCAGAUUCACCUUCAAGAAAGUCGAUCGCGAAUCGCCUAUGUUAUCGCCUCUCUCUCGACUCUGCUUUUUUUUUUCUGCUUGAAACGAUAAUGACGCGGCUCGCGUUAUUUCCACCCCCU